GUCUACAGCCAUAGCACCCUGAACGUGCCCGAUCUUGUCUGAUCUCAGAAGCUAAGCAGGGUUGAGCCUGAUUAGUACUUGGAUGGGAGACCACCUGAGAAUACCGGGUGCUGUAGGCU